AUUGAACGCUGGCGGCAUGCCUUACACAUGCAAGUCGAACGGUAACGCGGGGCAACCUGGCGACGAGUGGCGAACGGGUGAGUAAUGUAUCGGAACGUGCCCGGUUGUGGGGGAUAACUGCUCGAAAGAGCAGCUAAUACCGCAUACGACCUGAGGGUGAAAGCGGGGGAUCGCAAGACCUCGCGCAAUUGGAGCGGCCGAUAUCAGGUUAGGUAGUUGGUGGGGUAAAGGCCCACCAAGCCAACGAUCUGUAGCUGGUCUGAGAGGACGACCAGCCACACUGGGACUGAGACACGGCCCAGACUCCUACGGGAGGCAGCAGUGGGGAAUUUUGGACAAUGGACGCAAGUCUGAUCCAGCCACGCCGCGUGCGGGAAGAAGGCCUUCGGGUUGUAAACCGCUUUUGACAGGGAAGAAACGAGUUUCUCUAAUACAGAGACUUAAUGACGGUACCUGAAGAAUAAGCACCGGCUAACUACGUGCCAGCAGCCGCCGUAACAC
rnacentral:rRNA from 1 species